UGAACGCUGGCGGCGUGCUUAACACAUGCAAGUCGAACGAUGAAGCCUAGCUUGCUAGGUGGAUUAGUGGCGCACGGGUGAGUAAUAUAUAGUUAACGUGCCCCUUAGUCUGGGAUAGCCAUUGGAAACGAUGAUUAAUACCGGAUAUUCCUUCUUAUCAAAAGAUAAGAUGGGAAAGUUUUUCGCUGAGGGAUCGGACUAUAUCGCAUCAGUUAGUUGGUGGGGUAAGAGCCUACCAAGACAAUGACGCGUAGCGGGUUUGAGAGGAUGAUCCGCCACACUGGUACUGAGACACGGACCAGACUCCUACGGGAGGCAGCAGUGAGGAAUAUUGCACAAUGGGGAAACCCUGAUGCAGCAACGCCGCGUGGAGGAUGACGCAUUUCGGUGUGUAAACUCCUUUUAUAUGUCAAGAAAAUGACGGUAGCAUAUGAAUAAGCACCGGCUAACUCC
rnacentral:rRNA from 1 species